UUGAUGACAGAGUGUAGGAAAGUCCAUCAAGUUGCAAAGGUUGAUCCGAUUUAGUCACAGUCAGCUGGGGAGACAUUCAACUGAAGAAUGGCCAAUUUACAGGUGCUAUAAAGACCAAACAAGAUCACUACCCCCUCCCCAAGGGCUAACACAUGAGGAAAAGCAAUGACGUGGAAAACAGUAAAAGAGGAACAAAGGAUUGUCUCAGCCCCCUCAGCACUGAGGCUGAGCAGGCAUUGCUUCAGUACCCACAGAGCCAACAUACAGAAAUUCAUGUAAUGAUCUGAUUCUGCCUAUGUGGGUGCUAGCAGACCUUUUCCGUGAUACCUUCUCCCCUCUUCUAACCCUUAUAUCUCUUAGCAUCAGUUCAUAAAAAUGACACCGUGUUCCCUAAUAAGCUGGCAUUAAAAGUUGUAUUUUGAGGCUUUUACUCAUCUCUAAAGAUAGAAUAAUGAUUGAUAAAAGGCAAAUUAAAAAAAAAAAAAAGAUAUGGCCAUGCUCUAAAAUUAAGUAAAUAAAUGUCUCUAAAAAUCAGAAAACACAGCACAAAGCAGAACUAAAGCCAUGAGCACUCCAGGCUCCAGGUACAGAAGCAGGCAGAAGCAGCUGAGAAUCUGACUCAUCUAGGGUUAUAAGGAAUAAACAUUCUCCACAAGAGGUGAGGAAAUAGAGUCAGGAUCACUGUGUUAAAAGCAGGGCAUGAUAAAGGACCUGUACUUGUAAAAGUAAGAGAGCUGAAAAAUGUUUCUGACAACCCCUGCCUGGCAACAUGGCUCACACACAUCCGCUUUCUUCGGAAGCAGCAGGAGAGAGACACCCCUGCCAGCUCAGCCACUGAAUCAGCAACAAUCCUGCAGUCACCGUGGAGGAGGAACUGAGCCACAGGCAGGAUGCUGUUCUCAACUGGGAGCCCUGCGAAGUCGUGUGAAAGCAACUGCAAAACUCCAAGAGUGAGGAUCUGAUGGGGAGAGAGAGAGCCUGUCCCUAAACACCGGCACAACAAAAUUCUGAAUAUAUCAAUACAAUUGAACUAUAGAAGCUACCAGUAAAACCAACCCUAGUAGAUGAAUUCCCUCCCAAUAAAAUGAAAAUGACACAGCAAUCAGACAGAAAACUUCAACAUGAUUAUAUUCAGAGUCCUCUCCUGAUUACUGAAUAAAUAAUAUUUGUAAGAAAUAACUUAUGAAAUUAAAAUGUAUGGAAAUGAAGAUUGAAGAUGAAUUUAUAUUCUACAACUCAACAUUACCAAUGAUACAUCAAUUCCUGGAGUCCAAGGGCUGAAGAACCAGGAACUCUGGAAGAAAAUGAAAGCCCCAGUUCAAGAAGAGAGAAUUCACCCUGUCUGCCUUUUGGUUCCAUUUUGCACUUAACAGAUUGAUGAUGCUCAUCCACAUUGUGUUCCUUUAUUAAAGAUUACACUAAACAAAUCCUAUUUUCUUGAAAGAUCUCUGGUUUGGAUUCAAUGUCUACAUUUGAAGCCAGCACAGCCUCUGAAUGCUAGCCCCCCAGUUGCACCUGUGUUCCCCACAAGUAUGAUGAACCCCACAACCAAUCUCAUCUGAAGUCUCAGGAAGCCCACGAAGGUGGGGGAGAGGGACCAUAUUUGUAAAACUUUAUUUUUAAUUCUAUCUGUUUAUCUCACUUAAUCAUCAUGCUAUGAGAAUUAGUCUUGGAAAAGCUUAGCACAUGGAAUCAAGGCCUUCUGGAUUUAAAAUAGGAACUCUGCAACUGAUCCACAUGGUGAAUUACACAAGCAUGGACUUUUUUUGUCUGUCUUUCCCAUACGAAGGAAGUGAUGCCUGUCCUACCUGUCCACAUGUACUGUUUGGCUCAAUUUAUAUAACCCAUGUGCGGUCUCAUUGGAAAUAUCUUUUAGGAGUAAAGUAAAAAAUAGAACCAGCA